AUGACACAGGAAAAAGUCACAGCUGCUUGUGUGGUGCAUGCCCCAUACGGCACUAAAGUUUCAUGGCUUAAGAAUGGACUUGAGGAUAAGACAUCAAUCAUGCACGCAAACAGUGAAACUCAAAGCAUUAUCAGCAACCUGACACUGUCCAAAAAUAAAUGGAAUACACUGACAACUCUAACAUGCAAAGCUGUGCAUCCGUGUUUUAAAGAAGUACAGAAGACCAUCACAUUAAAAGAAUCUGUGAAGGAAUCUCCUACAGUGGUGAUCAGGAGGUCUUUCUCAGAGUUUCUGAAGAAUAACAGUGCUAUGUUGGAGUGCGUUGUGGGAAACAUCUCCUCUGGUGAGGUCUCCAUCACCUUCCAGGUCAACGGAGAAGAUCAUCCCGAAGCCCAGUAUAUAGAUCUUUCUGAGUCCAAUGAGCUGCACUCUUUAACCACACUAUUUACUGUUCCUAAUUCCAAAUACCAAAAAAACAACCAGUUUACCUGCAAAGUUCUCAAAAGCCCAACCAGUGAAUGGUUGUCCAGUCCCAUUUCAAAUUUGUUUGGUGAUCCUGUUGUGGAACUCUCUGUGAAACCCAGUAGUGAGACACCAGGUUCUGAGUCCCAGAAACUUUUGUGCUCUGGAACAGGAUUCAAUCCAAAGAUUAAAUGGCUCUCAAAAUCUGGGCAAAAUAUUGAUGCAACCACUGAAAUUACAAUGGGCAAAGAUGGACGUGUGACUAUUACCAGUGAGGUUUCAGUAAAAAAGCAAGAUUGGAACCAAGGGUCACAGUUCACCUGUGAGGUCAAUGAUCCUGACCUUCUGAAAACUAUAAAGAAGGAUAUCAGUGUUUGUUCAGUUCAUCAGUUCUCCUCACCAUCCAUUCACAUUGAGAGACCAUCACUGCGGAAUGUUAUGACACAGGAAGAAGUCACAGCUGCUUGUGUGGUGCAUGCCCCAUACGGCACUAAAGUUUCAUGGCUUAAGAAUGGACUUGAGGAUAAGACAUCAAUCAUACAUGCAAACAGUGAAACUCAAAGCAUUAUCAGCAACCUGACACUGUCCAAAAAUGAAUGGAAUACACUGACAACUCUAACAUGCAAAGCUGUGCAUCAGUGUUUUAAAGUACAGAAGACCAUCACAUUAAAAGCCUCAGUGACUCCCUCCAGUCCCUCUGCAACUUUACUACAAGGUCCCGGGGAGCUGGUGUGUAUGGCGUUUGGUUACAGUCCAUCUGACAUCACCAUCACCUGGUUACUGAACAGCGACUUUGAGCAAUCUGACUUCACUGUCAGCGACCCGGCAAAAGGGUCAGAUGGAAAAUUCAUUGUGUAUAGUCGCCUGCGUCUUCUGCCCUCAGAUUGGGCACCUGGAGCAGUGUAUACCUGCAGGAUCAACCACACCACUGGCAUUUUCUUAUUCAAUGUCUCCAAACCAGAAAUCAUUGAGGAGAGCAUAUACUUUGAUGACAAUAAGGCUGAUGAGAUCCUAAACGAUACAGCAGAGGAAACCUGGAACUUGGCAUGUGCCUUCCUCGUCCUCUUCUUUUUCUCUCUAAUCUAUGGAUGCUCAGUAACACUGGUGAAGAUCUACCAGUUCCAAGAGGAUGAGCGACUACUCGAUCUGCUGGCCACAGAAGCCUCCCACAUUCCUGACAACAACACCAUGCUUCCCUGGCAUGGUCCCAUAGAGCUAGAGCUGCCGUCCCAUGAACAGGAUCCCUGGCCCAGGUUUGUAGCCAAACCCAAGGCACAGAUCUGUUCCACACCUGCUCCCUCGGAAACCUGGAUUGUCUUCCAGGGUGACAAGAAAUGA